rnacentral:tRNA from 1 species
CAUAUAGCUUAGUGGAUAAAGCGUUCGCCUCCGGAGCGAAAGACCAUGGGUUCGAAUCCCAUUAUGU